rnacentral:rRNA from 1 species
CCUACGGGUGGCAGCAGUGAGGAAUCUUGGUCAAUGGGCGGAAGCCUGAACCAGCCAAGUAGCGUGCAUGAUGACGGCCCUACGGGUUGUAAACUGCUUUUAUACGGGAAUAACGCGCCUUACGUGUAGGGCUUUGCAUGUACCGUAUGAAUAAGGACCGGCUAAUUCCGUGCCGUCAGCCGCGGUAAUACGGAAGGUCCGGGCGUUAUCCGGAUUUGUUGGGUUUAAAGGGAGCGUAGGCCGCAUGUCAAGCGUGCUGUGAAGUGGCCGGGCUCAACCCGGGCCUUGCAGCGAGAACUGGCGGGCUUGAGUCCGCGGAAAGCAGGCGGAAUUCGUUGUGUAGCGGUGAAAUGCUUAGAUAUGACGAAGAACCCCGAUUGCGAAGGCAGCUUGCUGCAGCGGAACUGACGCUGAUGCUCGAAAGCGCGGGUAUCGAACAGGAUUAGAUACCCUAGUAGUC